rnacentral:rRNA from 1 species
GCGGAAGGGUGAGUAACACGCGGGUAAUCUACCUUCGAGUUAGGGAUAGCUCUGCGAAAGCGGAAUUAAUCCCUGAUGGGGUCCUCCGGCGCCUGCCGGGGUGACUAAAGGCGGGGAUCGCAAGACCUGUCGCUCGGAGAUGAACCCACGUACUAUCAGCUUGUUGGUGGGGUAACGGCUCACCAAGGCUAUGACGGUUAGCUGGUCUGAGAGGAUGGUCAGCCACACUGGGACUGAGACACUGCCCAGACUCCUACGGGAGGCUGCAGUCGAGGAUCAUUCGCAAUGGGCGCAAGCCUGACGGUGCGACGCCGCGUGCAGGAUGAAGGCCUUCGGGUUGUAAACUGCUGUCAGGAGGGAGCAAUAGCCGGGAUGCCAAUACCAUCCCGGAGUGAUAGUACCUCCAGAGGAAGCCACGGCUAACUCUGUGCCAGCAGCCGCGGUAAUACAGAGGCGGCAAGCGUUGUUCGGAUUUACUGGGCGUAAAGGGUGCGUAGGCGGUUUUGAAAGUCGGAUGUGAAAUCUCACGGCUCAACUGUGGAAUGGCAUUCGAAACUUCAAGGCUGGAGUACAGGAGAGGAGAGCGGAAUUCUCGGUGUAGCAGUGAAAUGCGUAGAUAUCGAGAGGAACACCGGCGGCGAAGGCGGCUCUCUGGACUGAUACUGACGCUGAGGCACGAAAGCUGGGGGAGCAAACAGGAUUAGAUACCCUGGUAGUCCCAGCCCUAAACGGUGUACACUUGGUGUGGGGGGAAUUGUCCCCUUCCGCGCCGGAGCUAACGCGUUAAGUGUACCGCCUGGGGAGUACGGUCGCAAGAUUAAAACUCAAAGGAAUUGACGGGGGCCCGCACAAGCGGUGGAGCAUGUGGCUCAAUUCGAUGCAACGCGAAGAACCUUACCUGGGCUUGACAUGCUGGUAGUAGAAGCCUGAAAGGGUGACGAGUCCCGCAAGGGAAAGCCAGCACAGGUGCUGCAUGGCUGUCGUCAGCUCGUGCCGUGAGGUGUUAGGUUAAGUCCUGCAACGAGCGCAACCCCUGUGGUUAGUUACUAACUUCGGCGAUAAGCCGAAAAGUACUCUAAUCAGACUGCCUGUGACAAGCAGGAGGAAGGUGGGGAUGACGUCAAGUCAGUAUGGUCCUUAUGUCCAGGGCUGCACACGUGCUACAAUGAUCGGUACAGAAGGAUGCAAGACCGCGAGGUGGAGCUAAUCCCCAAAACCGAUCGCAGUUCAGAUUGAAGGCUGCAACUCGCCUUCAUGAAGCUGGAAUCGCUAGUAAUGGCGCAUCAGCUACGGCGCCGUGAAUACGUUCCCGGGCCUUGUACACACCGCCCGUCACAUC